GGUCACACCCGUUCCCAUACCGAACACGGAAGUUAAGCUCUUCAGCGCCGAUGGUAGUUGGGGGCUGUCCCCCUGUGAGAGUAGGACGUUGCCA
rnacentral:rRNA from 1 species